rnacentral:rRNA from 1 species
AUGAUACUGCAGGGGAAGCCCUGUGGGAAAGUAGGUCGUCGCCAGUU